rnacentral:rRNA from 1 species
UACGUAGGGUGCGAGCGUUAAUCGGAAUUACUGGGCGUAAAGCGUGCGCAGGCGGUUCGUUAAGUUCGUUGUGAAAUCCCCGGGCUCAACCUGGGAACUGCAUUUGUGACUGCAUAGCUAGAGUACGGUAGAGGGGGAUGGAAUUCCGCGUGUAGCAGUGAAAUGCGUAGAUAUGCGGAGGAACACCGAUGGCGAAGGCAAUCCCCUGGACCUGUACUGACGCUCAUGCACGAAAGCGUGGGGAGCAAACAGG